GUUGGGUGACUGCGUACCUUUUGUAUAAUGGGUCAGCGACUUAUAUUUUGUAGCAAGGUUAACCGUAUAGGGGAGCCGUAGGGAAACCGAGUCUUAACUGGGCGAAUAGUUGCAAGGUAUAGACCCGAAACCCGGUGAUCUAGCCAUGGGCAGGUUGAAGGUUGGGUAACACUAACUGGAGGACCGAACCGACUAAUGUUGAAAAAUUAGCGGAUGACUUGUGGCUGGGGGUGAAAGGCCAAUCAAACCGGGAGAUAGCUGGUUCUCCCCGAAAGCUAUUUAGGUAGCGCCUCGUGAACUCAUCUUCGGGGGUAGAGCACUGUUUCGGCUAGGGGGCCAUCCCGGCUUACCAAACCGAUGCAAACUCCGAAUACCGAAGAAUGUUAUCACGGGAGACACACGGCGGGUGCUAACGUCCGUCGUGAAGAGGGAAACAACCCAGACCGCCAGCUAAGGUCCCAAAGUCAUGGUUAAGUGGGAAACGAUGUGGGAAGGCAUAGACAGCCAGGAUGUUGGCUUAGAAGCAGCCAUCAUUUAAAGAAAGCGUAAUAGCUCACUGGUCGAGUCGGCCUGCGCGGAAGAUGUAACGGGGCUAAACCAUGCACCGAAGCUGCGGCAGCGACGCUUAGGCGUUGUUGGGUAGGGGAGCGUUCUGUAAGCCGUUGAAGGUGGCCUGUGAGGGUUGCUGGAGGUAUCAGAAGUGCGAAUGCUGACAUAAGUAACGAUAAAGCGGGUGAAAAACCCGCUCGCCGGAAGACCAAGGGUUCCUGUCCAACGUUAAUCGGGGCAGGGUGAGUCGACCCCUAAGGCGAGGCCGAAAGGCGUAGUCGAUGGGAAACAGGUUAAUAUUCCUGUACUCGGUGUUACUGCGAAGGGGGGACGGAGAAGGCUAGGCUAGCCGGGCGACGGUUGUCCCGGUUUAAGCGUGUAGGGGGAGUGACUUGGUAAAUCCGGUUACUUAUUCAACCCUGAGGCGUGAUGACGAUGCACUACGGUGCAGAAGUAGUUGAUGCCAAGCUUCCAGGAAAAGCCUCUAAGCAUCAGGUAACACAGAAUCGUACCCCAAACCGACACAGGUGGUCAGGUAGAGAAUACCAAGGCGCUUGAGAGAACUCGGGUGAAGGAACUAGGCAAAAUGGUGCCGUAACUUCGGGAGAAGGCACGCUGGCGCGUAGGUGAAGAGACUUGCUCUCGGAGCUGAAGCCAGUCGCAGAUACCAGCUGGCUGCAACUGUUUAAUAAAAACACAGCACUGUGCAAACACGAAAGUGGACGUAUACGGUGUGACGCCUGCCCGGUGCUGGAAGGUUAAUUGAUGGGGUCAGCCGCAAGGCGAAGCUCUUGAUCGAAGCCCCAGUAAACGGCGGCCGUAACUAUAACGGUCCUAAGGUAGCGAAAUUCCUUGUCGGGUAAGUUCCGACCUGCACGAAUGGCGUAAUGAUGGCCAGGCUGUCUCCACCCGAGACUCAGUGAAAUUGAACUCGCUGUGAAGAUGCAGUGUACCCGCGGCAAGACGGAAAGACCCCGUGAACCUUUACUAUAGCUUGACACUGAACAUUGAGCCUUGAUGUGUAGGAUAGGUGGGAGGCUUUGAAGCGUGGACGCCAGUCUGCGUGGAGCCAACCUUGAAAUACCACCCUUUAAUGUUUGAUGUUCUAACUCGGCCCC
rnacentral:rRNA from 1 species